AGGGACUUCAAAGCCACCGGCGGCGUAGAGCGCCAAGUGGUAUCCGUGUUCGACUCCGUC
rnacentral:tRNA from 17 species